rnacentral:rRNA from 1 species
CGGCGUACGGGUGCGUAACACGUGUGCAACCUGCCUUUAUCUGGGGGAUAGCCUUUCGAAAGGAAGAUUAAUACUCCAUAAUAUAUUGAACGGCAUCGUUUAAUAUUGAAAGCUCCGGCGGAUAGAGAUGGGCACGCGCAAGAUUAGCUAGUUGGUGAGGUAACGGCUCACCAAGGCGAUGGUCUUUAGGGGGCCUGAGAGGGUGAUCCCCCACACUGGUACUGAGACACGGACCAG